rnacentral:rRNA from 1 species
GAUGAACGCUGGCGGCGUGCCUAAUACAUGCAAGUCGAGCGAACAGACGAGGAGCUUGCUCCUCUGACGUUAGCGGCGGACGGGUGAGUAACACGUGGAUAACCUACCUAUAAGACUGGGAUACCUUCGGGAAACCGGAGCUACUACCGGAUAAUAUAUCGAACCGCAUGGUUCAAUAGUGAAAGACGGUUUUGCUGUCACUUAUAGAUGGAUCAGCGCCGCAUUAGCUAGUUGGUAAGGUAACGGCUUACCAAGGCAACGAUGCGUAGCCGACCUGAGAGGGUGAUCGGCCACACUGGAACUGAGACACGGUCCAGACUCCGACGGGAGGCAGCAGUAGGGAAUCUUCCGCAAUGGGCGAAAGCUUGACGGAGCAACGCCGCGGGAGUGAUGAAGGUCUUCGGAUCGUAAAACUCUGUUAUUAGGGAAGAACAAAUGUGUAAGUAACUAUGCACGUCUUGACGGUACCUAAUCAGAAAGCCACGGCUAACUACGUG